rnacentral:rRNA from 1 species
UACAGAGGUCUCAAGCGUUGUUCGGAUUCAUUGGGCGUAAAGGGCGCGUAGGCUGCGGGGCAAGUCGGGUGUGAAAUCUCAGAGCUCAACUCUGAAACUGCACUCGAUACUGCUUUGCUUGAGGACUGGAGAGGAGAUUGGAAUUCACGGUGUAGCAGUGAAAUGCGUAGAUAUCGUGAGGAAGACCAGUGGCGAAGGCGGAUCUCUGGACAGUUCCUGACGCUGAGGCGCGAAGGCCAGGGGGAGCAAAACGGG